UUAAUAUGGUUAACCAGUGUAACAGUAUACAAUAAUUUCCUGUAUAACUAAAUAGAGCUUGUUUCUUAACAGGUGAACUUCAAGGAUUGCUAUUUAGCACCAUUUAAGAUCUACAAGCAUUUUUGCAUGACUACUGCAAAAGAAUAUCUUUACAGAAACCAGUUCUUUUUUGAAGUUUAUAACUUGGACCCUGUUUUCAGAAAGCAGAAUCUCAUCAGAAAGGUUCAGCAAAUGUUUGGCAGAAGCAUCUUAACUGUGCAAGGCAAAUUAAUCUGCAUCAAAGCGUCCUGGAGAAAAUAUCUAGAGUCAAAUAUUAAUGGAGGUAGAUAUAACUUUAAAGAGACAAAGGAAAAAGAAGACUAAUGCAAAGCAGAAAACCAAAUCCAAAAGAAGAUACUUAGCACAAAUAUCCUGGUAUGACAAAGGGCAACUGAUAAUGUGACAAGUUAUUAUUAUGGCAUUCAGCAACAAAAAAAUAUUGUUAAUUCUAUUUUGAAGCCACCAAAAAUUAUCGUUCUUUUUGUAGUUUAAUUUUUCUCAUAAAUCUUUAUUGUCUUGACAAUUAAAUCUAUAUAUAAUCCAUGACUCUCUCAUAAAAUGUUUAUAAAGUUGGUAAAAG
rnacentral:lncRNA from 1 species